CUUACGUGCUGACUCCUGUCUGUUAGAAAGUCAGUGAUCCACCUGCAGGUGGAAUCAGGCACGCUCAGCAGGGAAAGCUUGUCCUGUAGCAGAGCUGGGCUGAUGGUGUUGAAUGCGGAGCUGAAGUCCACAAACAGAAUCCUGGCAUAGGAGCCAGGGGAGUCCAGGUGCUGGAGGAUGUAGUGGAGGGCUAAAUUUACUGCGUCGUCUACAGAUCGGUUGGCUCUGUAGGCGAACUGCAGUGGGUCCAGCAGGGGGUUGGUGAUAGUCUUUAUGUGGUGGAGCACAAGGCGUUCAAAUGUGGCUGUGGAUGUGUGCUAUGGUAAAGGGUUAUUUGAUCACCUCUCCUUUAUUUGGUUUGACUCUUUUCUGUGGGCACAUUGAAGUAAGUUUGAAGUAAACGGCAGUGAGAAUAAAGAGAUAUAAAUGAAUACAUGACUAUAUUUCUACAGAUAUGGAGGAUGCUGUUAAAGACAUGUAAAGGUCCUGACACACCAAGCUGACGUUCGGCUGUUGGACAGUUCGGGGCCGUCGGUGAGCGUCUGUCCAGUUUGUCGAGCUCUUCUCAUUUUUCAUCUUCAUCCCAUGUGUUCGUUCCAACACAUGGAAAUCUUCACAACAACAUGAACAUCUGGAAUGAAGCUAAGUGAACGAUGAACACAGACUACCACCGCCUGCUGAUGUGGAGACUUAUUUCCUCUCACGCAGAUGCAGAACCUAUGAGUCCACGUGUUAUUGGAAUACAUUCCAGAUGUCUGGAGGACUGAGACAGCUGGAAGCUCCGCUGGAAAGCCCGUCUAAGGACGACCCAAUGAUAUCAAUUCCGAUAG